rnacentral:rRNA from 1 species
CCUACGGGAGGCAGCAGUGAGGAAUAUUGGUCAAUGGGCGCAAGCCUGAACCAGCCAAGUCGCGUGAGGGAUGACGGUCCUAUGGAUUGUAAACCUCUUUUGUCGGGGAGCAAGGCCCGCCACGUGUGGCGGGAAGGAUAGUACCCGAAGAAAAAGCAUCGGCUAACUCCGUGCAAGCAGCCGCGGUAAUACGGAGGAUGCGAGCGUUAUCUGGAUUUAUUGGGUGUAAAGGGUGCGUCGGCGGAAGGUUAAGUCAGCGGGAAAAUGUCGGUGCUCAACACCGGCCUGCCGUUGAAACUGGUAUUCUGGAGUGAGCGAGAGGUAUGCGGAAUGCGUGGUGUAGCGGUGAAAUGCAUAGAUAUCACGCAGAACUCCGAUUGCGAAGGCAGCAUACCGGCGCUCAACUGACGCUGAUGCACGAAAGCGUGGGGAUCGAACAGGAUUAGAUACCCUGGUAGUC